UACGGGGGGGGCAAGCGUUGUUCGGAAUUACUGGGCGUAAAGGGCUCGUAGGCGGCCAACUAAGUCAGACGUGAAAUCCCUCGGCUUAACCGGGGAACUGCGUCUGAUACUGGAUGGCUUGAGUUUGGGAGAGGGAUGCGGAAUUCCAGGUGUAGCGGUGAAAUGCGUAGAUAUCUGGAGGAGCACCGGUGGCGAAGGCGGCAUCCUGGACCAACACUGACGCUGAUGAGCGAAAGCGUGGGGAGCAAACAGG
rnacentral:rRNA from 1 species